AGGCUAUAAAAUCGAUAAGUAUGAAGUUUAAACGACUAUAAGCAAACUGGUUUGGUCAUCCGCAAAUAGAAUAUUUAAAAAGCGAUUACUUAAAUGAUUAUUUGGAUAAAAUAUUAUUUCAAAUAGUAAUGGUGUUGACAUAGUGGCAAGCCUUGAUGAUUGUGCUAUCCUAGGACUACGUGGUGAUUUAUGUAAUUGCAAUUGUGAUGAUUCUGAAGUUGUUGGUGUUUUUGGUAAUCGUAAAUUUUUCCUUAGUGGCUUAGCAGGUGUUCGUAUUGAUCUUCUCCUUUUAGAUUUACUUGCAUUUGCUAAUACCUUUUCUGGCAAUAAAGAACUUCGUAGUUCUUUCUUAUCCUCUAAGUGUUCUUCAAAUUUACUAUAUGUUGUGUCAGUAGCUGUUGAACUUUGUAAUAUGGAAUUCUCGUUUUUAUGACUAUUUUUUGAUUUCAAUGCUUUUUUAGAAACUGCACUGUUUCCUUUACUUUUAGAUCCACUUGUUCCUGUGCUCCUAUUUCUACGUUUUGCUGAAGUAUUCGGAGAAGGACUACAGAAAAGUUUUCUCUUUGAGCAAUUAAGUGGUGUAUGACGACGAAUACUGAAUAUACCUUUUUUGGAUGAGCUUAAAGCAACUUUAGAAGGAAUUUUAGAAACAGUUGGUGUUGCCUUUUUUGCUGAUUUAUCUUUUCCUUCUUUUCUAGCCUUCUUUAUAGACUCCUUUUCUUCGUUUAAAUGUUCCCAUGACUCUUUCAAUAAUUCCUCUACUGACAUUCCAUUUAUAGUAAAUAUUUCUUCAUGUAUAUUUUCAUAUUCCUUUAUUAAAUUCCUUAAUUGCUCUUCGAUUUUUGGCAGCUUUUUCUGGAUGGUUUUACGUUCCUUUUCUUCCAUUAAUAGCUGACCACCACGAUUAUAAAAACGAUCUGGAUUAUUUGCACGUUGUAACAAUUCUUUCAUUUUUGUCCAUAAAUCAUCACGUUCCUGUAAGAGUUCAUAUAUAGACUUAUUUGAAUUAUAGAACUCUUGGAUCCUUUUUACUUCCAGUUCAUGCAAUGUUAAUAAAUCUUCUGUAUAUGUAUGGGAAUAAAAAUAUAUAAACUCUC